CCGAAGUGAUGCGUCCCUUCUCGGGACGCAACUUCCAACCCCAUGUUUACCUGAAACAAAGUUGCCUCGGCGUCUGGAGCCCUCUAUUAGGGGGCUCCGCGCCGGUGGACACAACCGAACUCGUUUUUUGAACGUAUUAUGUCUGAGUCAGAUAAUUUUUAAAUUAAAAAAGCA
rnacentral:misc_RNA from 1 species